rnacentral:rRNA from 1 species
UACGGGGGGGGCAAGCGUUGUUCGGAAUUACUGGGCGUAAAGGGCUCGUAGGCGGCCAACUAAGUCAGACGUGAAAUCCCUCGGCUUAACCGGGGAACUGCGUCUGAUACUGGAUGGCUCGAGUUUUGGGGAGGAGGGAGUAGUCCGGAAGUUCCAGGUGUAGGCGGUAGAAAUGCGUAGAUAUCUGGAGGAACACCGGUGGCGAAGGCGGCAUCCUGGACCAACACUGACGCUGAUGAGCGAAAGCCAGGGGAGCAAACGGG